GACGAACGCUGGCGGCGUGCCUAAUACAUGCAAGUUGAGCGCUGAAGGGUGGUACUUGUACCAACUGCGUGAGCAGCGAACGGGUGAGUAACGCGUGGAGAAUCUACCUUUGAGCGGGGGACAACAUUUGGAAACGAAAGCUAAUACCGCAUAAAAACUUUAAACACAAGUUUUAAGAUUGAAAGAUGCAAUUGCAUCACCCAAAGAUUAUACCGCGUUCUAUUAGCCUGUUGGUGAGGUAAAGGCUCAACAAGGCGAUGAUACAGAGCCGACCCGGGAGGGGGGACGGGCACAAUGGGACCGAGACACGGCCCAAACUCCCACGGGAGGGAGCCGGAGGGAAACUUCGGGAAAGGAGGGAAGUCUGAACGAGCAACGCCGGGGGAGGGAAGAAGGGUCUCGGAUCGGAAAAAUCUGUUGGUAAGGAAGAACGUUAGUGGGAAUGAAAAACUCACCAAGUGACGGUAACUACUCAGAAAGGGACGGCUAACUACGUG
rnacentral:rRNA from 1 species